UAUUGUAAUGCUCAGAGUAGGGCUGGACGAUAAAUCGAAAAUGUAUCGCCAUCAAAAUUCUGAAGUUGUUUUUCCCAUGAUGAUAAUUUAGAUAAUUUCGUCCUGUCGACAGACCUACUUUCUCCUAGAAAAACAUUCUACCACGUGAGUAGUUACGGGAC